rnacentral:lncRNA from 1 species
CCUAUACUAUGACUGAUCAAUUAAAUAAUAAAUAAACUUAGGUAGGUCAUACUAGUGAAGGAAUUCCUCGUCUCUCCCCUCCUAGUUCUUGUCUCAUAUCUCAGCCAGUGAUCAUAUCCCUAAGCUUUGAUACCAACUGUGACGCCCCCAAAAUAUGUAUACAUCACCCAUCUUGAGUCGUCAAAUACAUGGUACAAAAUUCAAAUACAACCUAAAUAUACAACAGUCGUGUAAAAUAUGACAAAACAUAAUCUAAAAGUUUCAAUAAGAAUAUUGUCAUCUAGACAAUAUCCACACUCAAUGGAGUCCUCAUUACAUUUAUUAUCACACUAUUUUAUAGAAUAGUGAGGACUACUAAAACAACCAUCUGGACCGUCAAUCCGUUCCCCGACUCGUCCCAGCUAUAUUCUCAUUUCCUGAAGAGAACAAUAAAAGAAAGGGUGAGCUCAACUAACCCAGUAAGAAAUAUUAUGACUAAGAUAAUGCAGAAUAAAUUAUCCUUAGCCUUCAACAGUAUAACAACUGAUAGAAUAUAAUAGUCAACAAGUAUUAGAUCAACAACUGUAGCGGAAUAAGCAAUCCAUUAGAAGAGUCAAGUAGAGCAUAAAAUCAACUAUCUUCUAUGAUUUAAAAAGUUUUCCAUCAACUUUAUCGCUGAGACUCAGCUUAAUAAAUAAAACCGAAUUAUCCCUGCACCACGACUAAGGAUAUUCAUGUAAUCAUCAAUGGUCAUGAUUAUACCAAAUAAUUUCUGGUUGUAAUCAUACCAACAACUGUCCAUCAAUGAACUGUAGACCAAUGAGGACUUUUACCACAUCAUUCGUUACAUUACGGUCAUGAUUAUACCAAAUAAUCCCUGGUCAUAAUCAUACUAAGUUCAUCUAUGCACGUAAGCCAAAGAUGACUUUCAUCACAAUAUAAGCAUGAGGAUGAUGACAAUGACAUGAUAAUUCAAUAAAACAAGUUCAAG